UCUUCCCUCUUUCUUCGUGCCUAAUACAUGCAAGUCGAGCGAACGGACGAGAAGCUUGCUUCUCUGAUGUUAGCGGCGGACGGGUGGGUAACACGUGGAUAACCUACCUAUAAGACUGGGAUAACUUCGGGAAACCGGAGCUAAUACCGGAUAAUAUUUUGAACCGCAUGGUUCAAAAGUGAAAGACGGUCUUGCUGUCACUUAUAGAUGGAUCCGCGCUGCAUUAGCUAGUUGGUAAGGUAACGGCUUACCAAGGCAACGAUGCAUAGCCGACCUGAGGGGGUUGUCCGGCACAAUGGGAAGUAGACACCGUGCAAGCUCCUGAGGGAAGGCACCAGAGGGAAUCUUCCGGAAAGGGGGAAAGCCUGGCGGGAGAACGCCGCGGGAGGUAAUGAAGUCUUUGGAUUGGUAAAACCCUGUAUUAGGGGAGAAAAAAUGGUUAAGUUACUUGGGCCGACCUGGCGGUACCCAAUCAGAAAGCCACGGCUAACUACGUG
rnacentral:rRNA from 1 species